rnacentral:rRNA from 1 species
GUGCCAGCAGCCGCGGUAAUACGUAGGGUGCAAGCGUUAAUCGGAAUUACUGGGCGUAAAGCGUGCGCAGGCGGUUUUGUAAGUCUGACGUGAAAUCCCCGGGCUCAACCUGGGAAUUGCGUUGGAGACUGCAAGGCUAGAAUCUGGCAGAGGGGGGUAGAAUUCCACGUGUAGCAGUGAAAUGCGUAGAGAUGUGGAGGAACACCGAUGGCGAAGGCAGCCCCCUGGGUCAAGAUUGACGCUCAUGCACGAAAGCGUGGGGAGCAAACAGGAUUAGAUACCCUGGUAGUCCACGCCCUAAACGAUGUCUACUAGUUGUCGGGUCUUAAUUGACUUGGUAACGCAGCUAACGCGUGAAGUAGACCGCCUGGGGAGUACGGUCGCAAGAUUAAAACUUAAAUGAAUUGACGGGG